rnacentral:lncRNA from 1 species
AUGACCAAAGAAGGAGGAGGUAUGGUACCUCGGAAAGAGCACUGGCAUGACCUGGUUCCAGAUUCUACCUCUAAUGUUGUGUGAUGUGAGGAUGUGGUACAAAGAAGAUGCUUAAUAAAAGACAUAUUGAUUGAUUGAUAUGAAGAGAAAUAAGAGAAGGCAGUAUCAUGGGAGCCAAGGGAGAAGAGAGAGGAGAGCAGCAUUUAGUAUGCAUUUUCUAGCCUAUCAAAUGGUAUAGCAGGUUUUCUUCAAUGUCAUUUCAGGAGAGGUGAUUAAAAGAGUCAAGGAGGAUGAAGAUUGAGAAAAAACCAAUGGAUUUAGCAAUUGAGAACUGAUACUAAAACAGAUGGUGAGGGUUUUUUUAAAGGAGAGGAAGAAUAAGGAAAAGGAGAACAAGAACAAGGAAGAGAAUGAGGAGGAGGAGAAAAAGGAAGAGAAGAAGAAAAAGAAGAGGAACAGGAGGAGGAGAGAGUGAAUAGUUGAGGAUGACAGUGAUUGAGGUCAUGAAUUUGGGGAUUCGUAGGAAAGUAAUCUCUGGAGAUAGAGGAAAGUUUGGAAGAUAUGUGGAUUUUGGAGAGAAGAGGAUGAAUUCCAUUUUGAACAUGUUGAGCGUAACAUGCCUAGGGGACAUAAAGUUUCAAAUGUCUACUAAAGAGGGCAGGAUUCUUACGUCACACGAAAUUGCCAGGCUACACUUAUGAUCCCAGUAAAUGCCCCAAUGAGAUGGGAGAGGAUACACGGAGGAUAAAACAGGGCCCAAUGGCACCAACUGCUAAUGUGUGUUCCAAAGUAGGUGAAUUCUGUCCUGCUCAGGGUGAAUUCAAGUUGGCGGCAUAUUCCAAAAGGCAGGCUCAUCAAUUAGCAUUUACUUCUCCAAAACACUAUAAUCCAUCAGUACAGAAGGUACUGUAUACUCCUAUAGUGGUUAUAAGUUUAGAGGCCACAAGCUAAUUCCUUACAAGCACUGAGGAUACUGCCCAGAGAGGCCCAGAGAGGCCCAGAGAGGGCAUAUUGGUGUCAUUGGAAGGCCAGGAAGUUAACCUGAUUCUCUCCAUAUUUGCCAUUUGGCCAAACAGUUCAUUACCUCCUUUCAAAUCAGCCUUUGAGCUCAUGGGUAAAAUAUCAAAGACUGAGCCUUUGCAAAACACUGAUCAGAAAUGACAGUUUGAUAUACUGAACCUAUUGUGGCUUGGUUUGAUUUUGAAAUAAAAAGCCAUAUCAUCUCCCA